rnacentral:rRNA from 1 species
AAGUCGGGUGUGAAAUCCCUUCGGCUCAACCGAGGAAUUGCGCCCGAUACUGCAGGCCUUGAGCGUAGGAGGGGAGAGUGGAACUCCUGGUGGAGCGGUGAAAUGCUUUGAUAUCAGGAGGAACGCCGGUGGCGAAAGCGGCUCUCUGGCCUACUGCUGACGCUGAGGCGCGAAAGCUAGGGGAGCAAACGGGAUUAGAUACCCCGGUAGUCCUAGCUGUAAACGAU